UGUAGAAGUGAUUCAGCAAUUUCUGAUGUAUAAUUAAGUUUAGUUUUCAUUUGCCAGUCACUAGCGUCGAGUUAUUAUUCAACUAUUCAAGCACUAUGGCAUUGACUAAAGAUAUACGAAGACGUAUCUCCGCACAAAUUCCGGUUCUCAUUCGUUAAACGCGCUAGAUUCAUCGAUUCUUUCUUCACAGCGUAGGUACUUGGAUACAACUUGAAAUAAUGCAUGUGGAAUUACAGUGGAACCUCGGCUAUCGGAAUCUCGACUAUCGCGAAAAACCGUGUUUUACAAUCUUGGUUCUUGUAAUCAGUUACCGCUUCCUUCGAACCCACACAACUACACUUGCGUUGACAACUCGUCGUUCAGAAUUUGAUAGUGAUUGAAGGUAGAGACAGAACAGAGCUUCUUGAAACUUCGAGUGUAUUUGAACACAUAUUUGAAAGUUAAAGGCUGACCAUCGAAGGGCCUAGCCGCUUGAAUC